rnacentral:lncRNA from 1 species
UCCGCCCGCCUCGGCCUCUGAAAGUGCUAGGAUUACAGGUGUGAGCCACCACGCCUGGCCAUAUGUGGGUUUAAAGAUUUGACUUUGCAACUCCUAAACACCUAAAUAAUGACUAAAUAGUGUGGGUUGCCAGGGUGUUAAUACUAAAAGCCACCGCAUUUUAUGCAUUUUGUGGUCUGAGUGUUAUGUCUCUACAAAUGAAUGAAUGAAAACCGUAGUCAUCAAAUGCAAUUAAACAUUCUCGGCGAAUGCUACACCGGGGACACCCUGCCUGGCUCACACGCGGCCUUGCUGAUGUCACCUCCGUCGGCGCUCAAUAACUGUUUGAUGUGUGUUGUGGGUUGAACUACAUCUCCCAGAAAGACAGGCUGACAUCCUGACCCCCGGUUCCUGUGAAUAGGAGCUUAUGUGGAAAUAGGGUCUCUGCAGACAUGGCCCAGUUAAGGCGAGGCCACGAGGAACCGGGUGGGCCCUGAUCCAGUGACGGAUGAAUUUACAAGAAAAGACAGACACACACAGGGGAGAAGGCUGUGAGCAG